UCUAUUACCAUUUCACUCUGCAGCUCAAAUCUGAUUGCUCAUUAAAGCUAAGCAGGCCUGUGCCUGGUCAGUAUCUGGAUGGGAGACCACAUGGGAAAACUAGGUUGCUGAUGGAA
ensembl:rRNA 5S_rRNA 5S ribosomal RNA